rnacentral:rRNA from 1 species
AGAGUUUGAUCAUGGCUCAGGAUGAACGCUAGCUACAGGCUUAACACAUGCAAGUCGAGGGGAAACGACAUCGAAAGCUUGCUUUUGAUGGGCGUCGACCGGCGCACGGGUGAGUAACGCGUAUCCAACCUGCCCACCACUUGGGGAUAACCUUGCGAAAGUAAGACUAAUACCCAAUGACGUCUCUAGAAGACAUCUGAAAGAGAUUAAAGAUUUAUCGGUGAUGGAUGGGGAUGCGUCUGAUUAGCUUGUUGGGCGGGUAACGGCCACCAAGGCGACGAUCAGUAGGGGUUCUGAGAGGAAGGUCCCCCANAUUGGAACUGAGACACGGUCCAAACUCCGUACGGGAGGCA